rnacentral:rRNA from 1 species
UACGUAGGGACCAAGCGUUGUUCGGAUUUACUGGGCGUAAAGGGCGCGUAGGCUGCGCGGUAAGUCACUUGUGAAAUCUCUGAGCUUAACUCAGAACGGCCAAGUGAUACUGCAGUGCUAGAGUGUGGAAGGGGCAAUCGGAAUUCUUGGUGUAGCGGUGAAAUGCGUAGAUAUCAAGAGGAACACCUGAGGUGAAGACGGGUUGCUGGGCCAACACUGACGCUGAUGCGCGAAAGCCAGGGGAGCAAACAGG